rnacentral:rRNA from 1 species
AUUGAACGCUGGCGGCAGGCCUAACACAUGCAAGUCGAGCGGAGCGACGGACGGGGGCGUAAUACCUAUGAAUCUGCCUGGUCGUGGGGGAUGACGUCCGGAAACGGGCGCUAAUACCGCAUACUAUCACAUGAAGCUGGGGCGGAUUAGCUAUAUGGUGGGGUAGAGGCCUACCAAGGCGACGAUCCGUACCGGGUCUUAGAGGAUGAUCAGUCACACUGGAACUGAGACACGGGCCAGACUCCUACGGUAGGCAGCAGUGGGGAAUAUUGGACAAUGGGCGAAAGCCUGAUCCAGCCAUGCCGCGUGUGUGAAGAAGGUCUUCGGAUUGUAAAGCACUUUAAGUUGGGAGGCGUUACCAACAGAAUAAGCACCGGCUAACUCCGUGCCAGCAGCCGCGGUAAUAC